rnacentral:ncRNA from 2 species
GCCCGUGACACGGGGUGCUCCGCACGAGCGGGGCUGAGAUCACACCCGUCGAACCUGACCAGGUAAUGCUGACGAAGGGAUGUCCCGACAUGACCAC